CUGAAAAUUCUCUGAAGCUUUGGUGACGAAGCGUUCCCCUUAACUAUCUGUACCUAUAAAUUGGGUUUUUUCAACACCUCUCUCUCUCUCCCAGUUUUCAUUAUUCUGAUUCGUCUUCUUCUUUCUUCAUCUGAAACCAACCUAGGAUUUCUGAAUCUAGUCUCUCUGGGUUAUCAAUCGAUUCAAUUCCCAUCAUGAAUCCUGAAUACGACUAUCUUUUCAAGCUUUUGCUUAUUGGAGAUUCUGGUGUUGGGAAGUCAUGUCUUCUGUUGAGAUUUGCGGAUGAUUCUUAUUUGGAGAGUUACAUCAGUACCAUUGGAGUGGAUUUUAAAAUUAGAACCGUGGAACAAGAUGGAAAGACCAUCAAACUCCAAAUUUGGGACACUGCUGGUCAAGAGCGUUUCCGUACCAUAACUAGCAGUUACUACCGUGGUGCACAUGGAAUUAUUGUGGUUUAUGAUGUUACAGACCAAGAGAGCUUCAACAAUGUUAAGCAAUGGCUAAGUGAAAUCGAUCGCUAUGCAAGUGAAAAUGUAAACAAGCUUUUGGUGGGAAACAAGUGUGAUAUGACGACUAACAGGGUGGUUUCCUAUGAAACGGGCAAGGCAUUUGCAGAUGAGAUAGGAAUACCGUUCUUGGAGACCAGUGCCAAAAACUCUACGAAUGUCGAACAAGCUUUCAUGACCAUGGCUGGUGAGAUAAAGAACAGGAUGGCAAGUCAACCAGCGAUGAACGCAAACAGACCUGCAACUGUGCAAAUAAAAAAAUGUCAAUGGACUCAUAGUAGGACACUGCCGGUGAAGAGCGUUUCCGUACUAUAACUAGUAGUUACUACCGUGGUGCACAUGGCAUUAAUACCAAGAAAGCUUCAACAACGUUAAGCAAUGGCUGAGUGAAAUCUAUUGCUAUACAACUCACAGAGUUGUUUCCUACGAAACGGGCAAGGAAUUUGCAGAUGAGAUAAGAAUGCCGUUCCUGGAGACAGGGUGCCGAAAAUUCUACCUAUGUCGAACAAGCUUUCAUGACCAUGGCUGGUGAGAUUAACAGGAUGGCAAGUCAACAAGCGAAACGAUGAAUGCAAAUAGACCCGCAACAGUGCAGAUGAAAGGCCAACCAGUCAACCAAAAGGCAAACUGUUUCUCUUCUUAUGUUUUCUCUCUUUGGCAAGCAAUUCGCAAGACAUGUUAUUGACGGGGAAGGCAGUGACUAGUUAAUGCUGAAUCUCUGCCAAAACCCUGUAGGGAUUUGAUAAUUGUUGUUCAAUUUACUAACCAAACCUAGACCUCUUUGGUGUACAUAGAAGAAAAUGUCGAUGGAGAGGGUUGCACUUAAAAAUGCAUCGUCCCUUUCUUUCUAUUUUAAAAUUUGAAUGCUGGAUUAAAGUCCCGAGGAAUCAACUCGGCUCAGUAGAACUGUUAUUCUAAUUUA